GACGAACGCUGGCGGCGUGCUUAACACAUGCAAGUCGAACGGAAAGGCCCUGCUUUUGUGGGGUGCUCGAGUGGCGAACGGGUGAGUAACACGUGAGUAACCUGCCCUUGACUUUGGGAUAACUUCAGGAAACUGGGGCUAAUACCGGAUAGGAGCUCCUGCUGCAUGGUGGGGGUUGGAAAGUUUCGGCGGUUGGGGAUGGACUCGCGGCUUAUCAGCUUGUUGGUGGGGUAGUGGCUUACCAAGGCUUUGACGGGUAGCCGGCCUGAGAGGGUGACCGGCCACAUUGGGACUGAGAUACGGCCCAGACUCCUACGGGAGGCAGCAGUGGGGAAUAUUGCACAAUGGGCGGAAGCCUGAUGCAGCAACGCCGCGUGCGGGAUGACGGCCUUCGGGUUGUAAACCGCUUUCGCCUGUGACGAAGCGUGAGUGACGGUAAUGGGUAAAGAAGCACCGGCUAACUACGUGCCAGCAGCCGCGGUGAUACGUAGGGUGCGAGCGUUGUCCGGAUUUAUUGGGCGUAAAGGGCUCGUAGGUGGUUGAUCGCGUCGGAAGUGUAAUCUUGGGGCUUAACCCUGAGCGUGCUUUCGAUACGGGUUGACUUGAGGAAGGUAGGGGAGAAUGGAAUUCCUGGUGGAGCGGUGGAAUGCGCAGAUAUCAGGAGGAACACCAGUGGCGAAGGCGGUUCUCUGGGCCUUUCCUGACGCUGAGGAGCGAAAGCGUGGGGAGCGAACAGGCUUAGAUACCCUGGUAGUCCACGCUGUAAACGGUGGGUACUAGGUGUGGGGUCCAUUCCACGGGUUCCGUGCCGUAGCUAACGCUUUAAGUACCCCGCCUGGGGAGUACGGCCGCAAGGCUAAAACCCAAAGGAAUUGACGGGGCCCCGCACAAGCGGCGGAGCAUGCGGAUUAAUUCGAUGCAACGCGUAGAACCUUACCUGGGUUUGACAUGGAUCGGGAGCGCUCAGAGAUGGGUGUGCCUCUUUUGGGGUCGGUUCACAGGUGGUGCAUGGCUGUCGUCAGCUCGUGUCGUGAGAUGUUGGGUUAAGUCCCGCAACGAGCGCAACCCUUGUUCACUGUUGCCAGCACGUUAUGGUGGGGACUCAGUGGAGACCGCCGGGGUCAACUCGGAGGAAGGUGGGGAUGACGUCAAGUCAUCAUGCCCCUUAUGUCCAGGGCUUCACGCAUGCUACAAUGGCUGGUACAGAGAGUGGCGAGCCUGUGAGGGUGAGCGAAUCUCGGAAAGCCGGUCUCAGUUCGGAUUGGGGUCUGCAACUCGACCUCAUGAAGUCGGAGUCGCUAGUAAUCGCAGAUCAGCAACGCUGCGGUGAAUAAGUUCCCGGG
rnacentral:rRNA from 1 species